rnacentral:rRNA from 1 species
AGCUAGUUGGUGGGGUAAUGGCCCACCAAGGCGACGAUCAGUAGCUGGUCUGAGAGGAUGAUCAGCCACACUGGGACUGAGACACGGCCCAGACUCCUACGGGAGGCAGCAGUGGGGAAUUUUCCGCAAUGGGCGAAAGCCUGACGGAGCAACGCCGCGUGAGGGAUGAAGGCCUCUGGGCUGUAAACCUCUUUUCUCAAGGAAGAAGACCUGACGGUACUUGAGGAAUAAGCCACGGCUAAUUCCGUGCCAGCAGCCGCGGUAAUACGGGAGUGGCAAGCGUUAUCCGGAAUUAUUGGGCGUAAAGCGUCCGCAGGCGGCCUUGUAAGUCUGUUGUUAAAGCGUGGAGCUUAACUCCAUUUAAGCAAUGGAAACUACAAGGCUGGAGUGUGGUAGGGGCAGAGGGAAUUCCCGGUGUAGCGGUGAAAUGCGUAGAUAUCGGGAAGAACACCAGUGGCGAAGGCGCUCUGCUGGGCCAUAACUGACGCUCAUGGACGAAAGCCAGGGGAGCGAAAGGGAUUAGAUACCCCUGUAGUCCUGGCCGUAAACGAUGAACACUAGGUGUCGGGGGAAUCGACCCCCUCGGUGUCGUAGCCAACGCGUUAAGUGUUCCGCCUGGGGAGUACGCACGCAAGUGUGAAACUCAAAGGAAUUGACGGGGGCCCGCACAAGCGGUGGAGUAUGUGGUUUAAUUCGAUGCAACGCGAAGAACCUUACCAGGGUUUGACAUCCUGCGAACCCCUGAGAAAUCGGGGGGUGCCUUCGGGUGCGCAGAGACAGGUGGUGCAUGGCUGUCGUCAGCUCGUGUCGUGAGAUGUUGGGUUAAGUCCCGCAACGAGCGCAACCCACGUCUUUAGUUGCCAGCAUUCAGUUGGGCACUCUAGAGAGACCGCCGGUGAUAAACCGGAGGAAGGUGUGGAUGACGUCAAGUCAUCAUGCCCCUUACAUCCUGGGCUACACACGUACUACAAUGCUACGGACAAAGGGCAGCAAGCUCGCGAGAGUUAGCAAAUCCCAUAAACCGUGGCUCAGUUCAGAUCGUAGGCUGCAACUCGCCUACGUGAAGGAGGAAUCGCUAGUAAUCGCAGGUCAGCAUACUGCGGUGAAUGCGCUCCCGGGCCUUGUACACACCGCCCGUCACACCAUGGAAGUUGGCCAUGCCCGAAGUCGUUACUCCAACCCUUGUGGAGGAGGACGCCGAAGGUGGGGCUGAUGACUGGGGUGAAGUCGGAACAAGGUAGCCGUACCGGAAGGUGCGGCUG